GACGAACGCUGGCGGCGCGUCUAAGACAUGCAAGUCGUGCGAUUAAGACUCCCUUCGGGGAGUGAAUAAAGCGGCGGACGGGUGAGUAACACGUAGCUAACCUGCCUUCCGGACCGGAACAACGGUGCGAAAGCGCCGCUAAUGCCGGAUACGCCGUUCGGUCUGUCCGACUGGACGUGAAAGCGGGCUUCGGUCCGCACCGGAAGAGGGGGCUGCGGCCUAUUAGCUAGUUGGUGAGGUAACGGCCCACCAAGGCAGCGAUGGGUAGCUGAUCUGAGAGGAUGGUCAGCCACACUGGGACUGAGACACGGCCCAGACUCCUACGGGAGGCAG
rnacentral:rRNA from 1 species